ACGUAACAAGGUCUCCGUUGGUGAACCAGCGGAGGGAUCAUUACCGAGUUUACAACUCCCAAACCCCUGUGAACAUACCUUAAUGUUGCCUCGGCGGAUCAGCCUGCUCCCCGUAAAACGGGACGGCCCGCCAGAGGACCCAAACUCUAAUGUUUCUUAUUGUAACUUCUGAGUAAAACAAACAAAUAAAUCAAAACUUUCAACAACGGAUCUCUUGGUUCUGGCAUCGAUGAAGAACGCAGCAAAAUGCGAUAAGUAAUGUGAAUUGCAGAAUUCAGUGAAUCAUCGAAUCUUUGAACGCACAUUGCGCCCGCUGGUAUUCCGGCGGGCAUGCCUGUUCGAGCGUCAUUUCAACCCUCAAGCCCCCGGGUUUGGUGUUGGGGAUCGGCUCUGCCUCACGGCGGUGCCGCCCCCGAAAUACAUUGGCGGUCUCGCUGCAGCCUCCAUUGCGUAGUAGCUAACACCUCGCAACUGGAACGCGGCGCGGCCAUGCCGUAAAACCCCAACUUCUGAAU
rnacentral:rRNA from 1 species